rnacentral:sRNA from 1 species
GCCAGGCACAGUGGAGCAUGCCUGUAAUUCCGAUGGCUUGGGAGGCUGAGGCAGGAGGAUUGCAAGUUUGAGGCCAACCUCAGCAACAUAGCGAGACCCUAUCUCAA